CCGGCCGCUACUGGAGAGUGAACGUGGACACAAUAGUAGCGCCAGCAGGUAGCUCCUGUGUUGUUGAAAUGGUCUAACCACUUUGAUUAAAGUAGAAAACUAGCAACAAUAAACAAGGAGAGAUUCUUGAAAGGAUGAAAGAGAAGUUAUACAACGUCAUGGAGCUGCCGACCCCGUCCAAACGGCGUGUGAAUUGAAUAUUCCGGCUGGUUUUUUGGUGAGACUCUACUAGAGACAGAACUGUGCUGCUCAAGUCACCGCCGUCAUACUGCCUCCUGGGUUUCAUCUUCAUCAUCACCAUCUUCUUACCGCUCACUAGACCUUCGCCAUCAUCAUCUCCACUACUCACAGGAUUUUCCCGUCGUUUCCCUACUCCAUUCUCUGAGGAGCCAGGAUGGACAGUUUUACCCUGCUAAGGGUGGUGGUAGGAACUUGAGUGCACUUAAACUAAUGAAACAGGGUUGAACAAAGACUGAUUUAGUAUUCCCCUGGUUAUCUCUAUGAAAUGAGAGAUCUCAGUUUUUUGUUAAUUUGGUUUUACAUUUCUAAUUUUCUUUGUUUUUGAUAUUUAAGUUGUGGUUUGAGUACAUUGGGUUUGAACCUAAUUGGCCUAUCUAAAUUUGAUUACCAUACUGAAUCAUUUAGUUUAGCCAUGCUAGACUUCUGGUAAAAGAUUAUUUUGCAUAAUCUCAAAUUGAAAGUAGUACUGGUUGUGGGUGCAAUUAGUUUCAUGCCCAAGGUAGGAGUUAAAUGAAGACAGGGGUGAAAAAAAAUAACACUACAGUUAAACAAAGUUACUCUGUUGUUGUGAGUUUAAACUAAAUCUCAGUCUAUCUUAUUAUGUUUGUAACUUAUGUUUGUAACUUGAAUCUUGUAUUAUCUUGCUCUUUUUAAAUACAUAGUUGUUUAAAUAAAGUUGUGCUGGUUGUUUU